CUUUCUUUGCUGGCGACCGGCGCACGGGUGAGUAACACGUAUCCAACCUGCCUUUACUCGGGGAUAGCCUUUCGAAAGAAAGAUUAAUACCCGAUAGUAUAAUGAUUCCGCAUGGUUUCAUUAUUAAAGGAUUCCGGUAAAGGAUGGGGAUGCGUUCCAUUAGGUUGUUGGUGAGGUAACGGCUCACCAAGCCUUCGAUGGAUAGGGGUUCUGAGAGGAAGGUCCCCCACAUUGGAACUGAGACACGGUCCAA
rnacentral:rRNA from 1 species